UGUAUGUUCUUGAGGAGCCACUGUGUUCCCGGCUUAGAGGACCAGGAGAAGGGGCGACAGAGCCACCUACUGCACGCUGGAGGCUGCAGCCUGCGGUAUCGUGGCUGGCCUCGCUGCAGUGGGUGGUGGUGAUGGAAACUGCAGCGGCUGGAGCGACUUUUUAGGAACAUUUCUGGGCUAGGUGUGCUGGCCCACGGCUAUAAUCCUGACAUUUUUAGAGGCUGAGGCAGGAGGAUUAGCUUAAGGUCAGAAGUUUAAGACCAACCUGGGCAACACAGUGAGACCUCAAUUCUACAAAAAGCUUCUAAAUGUCAUAGGAUGUGGUGGUGAGCCCUUGUAUCCCUAGCUACAUGGAAGCCUGUUGUGGGAAGAUCAUCUGAACCUAGAAGAUUGAGGCUGCAGUGAGCUAUGAUCACGUCACUGCUCUCCAGCUGGGCCAGGCUGGAGUGUACUGGCGGGAUUUCGGCUCACUGCAACCUGCAACUCCCGGAUUCACGUGAUUCUCCUGCCUCAGCCUCCCAGGUAACUGGGAUUACAGGCAGAGUCUGGCCUUCUAACUCUCAAGUCUUUACCUUACAAAUUCAAGUCGAAAGUCAUUUCAUCUCUUUUGGAACCUGUAACCAUGAGCUAGCUCUACCUGUCUUUCAGAAGAGUUCAUCACUGACUGUUUCCGUAUCUUCAGAUGACCAGGCCAGCAUGGUCGGACUCAGACCCUGGACAGAGGAAGAAGAUCUGGAGGAGGAAAACCUCUAUAGCACAAUCCAGCAAAGGAUGAAAAGUAAGUACCAUAAAGCAACUCACAUCAUGAGGGACCAACUUGCCACUUGAGUGUUUAGAAACCUGAUUCUGGGAUCCUGCUGGGAAGGAGGAUUGGGGGUCUCCUGAGAGGAAGUGAUUUGGCCAAUACAGAACUCCAGCCAGAGAGGCUGUAGGAAGGUUUAUCAACUCAACAAAGACCAGGGAAUGAUGUGUGAGGCCACAUGGCUUUAGCUGCUGGAAGAGGAGUGGGUGAGUCAC